rnacentral:piRNA from 1 species
CGAGAUGCUGCGCAUGUACCACGUGC